UACGUAGGGGGCAAGCGUUGUCCGGAUUUAUUGGGCGUAAAGAGCGUGUAGGCGGCCAGGUAGGUCUGCUGUGAAAGUCAGGGGCUCAACCCUUGGAAGCCGGCCGAUACUGUCGGACUAGAGUCCGGAAGAGGCGAGUGGAAUUCCCGGUGUAGCGGUGAAAUGCGCAGAUAUCGGGAGGAACACCAAUGGCGAAGGCAGCUCGCUGGGACGGUACUGACGCUGAGGCGCGAAAGCGUGGGGAGCAAACAGG
rnacentral:rRNA from 1 species